GCGAGGGCUGUCGCUGACUUUUUGAAACACAAAAGUCGUGCACGCCGGAGCGUGUCCUCUCACAAUAAAAUCCAUCUCACCCUUUUGUGCACCACCGCGUGGGCACCUUUUGGGAUCGAACCGAUCCUGGAGGGGGCUUGCGUUUUCACACAAACCCCUUUUAAAAAGUGUAGAAUGACCCCAUUUUGCGAUGACACGCAAUCAAUACAACUUUCAACAACGGAUCUCUUGGCUCUCGCAUCGAUGAAGAACGCAGCGAAAUGCGAUACGUAAUGUGAAUUGCAGAAUUCAGUGAAUCAUCGAAUCUUUGAACGCACCUUGCGCCCCUUGGUAUUCCGAGGGGCACACCCGUUUGAGUGUCGUGAAAAUCUCAACCUUCUCGGUUUUCUUCUGGACACCGAAGGAGGCUUGGACUUUGGAGGCCUUUGCUGGCAUCUCUCUCUUUUUGAGAGCCAGCUCCUCUUAAACGAAUUAGCGGGGUCCUCUUUGCCGAUCCUCGACAUGUGAUAAGAUGUUUCCAUGACUUGGUUUCUGGCUCUGUUGCCUUUGGGACCCGCUUCUAACCGUCUCGACGAGACAACGUUUGGGCGUGUCUCCCUUCUCGGGAGACUCUCUCGACCCCACGAACCCUUGACCUCAAAUCGGGUGAGACUACCCGCUGAACUUAAGCAUAUCAAUAAGCGGAGGAAAAGAAACUAACAAGGAUUCCCCUAGUAACUGCGAGUGAAGCGGGAAAAGCUCAAAUUUAAAAUCUGGCGGUCUCUGGCCGUCCGAGUUGUAAUUUAGAGAAGCGUCUUCCGCGCCGGACCGUGCACAAGUCUCCUGGAAUGGAGCGUCAUAGAGGGUGAGAAUCCCGUCUUUGGCACGGAUGCCUGUGCUUCUGCGAUGCGCUCUCAAAGAGUCGAGUUGUUUGGGAAUGCAGCUCAAAAUGGGUGGUGAACUCCAUCUAAAGCUAAAUAUUGGCGAGAGANCGAUAGCGAAC
rnacentral:rRNA from 1 species